rnacentral:rRNA from 1 species
UACGUAGGGCGCGAGCGUUGUCCGGAAUUAUUGGGCGUAAAGAGCUCGUAGGCGGUCUGUCGCGUCUGCUGUGAAAACUCAGGGCUUAACCCUGAGCUUGCAGUGGGUACGGGCAGACUAGAGUGCGGUAGGGGAGACUGGAAUUCCUGGUGUAGCGGUGAAAUGCGCAGAUAUCGAGAGGAACACCUGCGGCGAAGGCGGGUUGCUGGGCUGACACUGACACUGAGGCGCGAAAGCUAGGGGAGCGAACGGG